rnacentral:rRNA from 1 species
AUUCAUUGCGUUUAUGCUAGGAUGUUGGCUUAAUGGUUACUAGCGACCCGUCGUGAAACACGGAUCAAGGAGUCGAUCAGUCACGCGAGCGUUCGAGUAUUAAAACUCUUACGCGUAAUUAAAGUGAACGUAGGUAGGAGCUUCGGCGCACUAUCGACCGGUCUGAGUUCGCGAGGAUCUGAGUAAGAGUGUGGAUGAUCGGACCCGAAAGUCAGUAUUUUCCCGUUUAACUUUCAUGAAAGCUUUUUGUGCUAACAGUUUUUUAGGAAGAUGAACUAUUCCUGACUAGGGUGAAGCCAGAGGAAACUCUGGUGGAGGCUCGCAGCGGUUCUGACGUGCAAAUCGAUCGUCAAAGCUGGGAAUAGGGGCGAAAGACUAAUCGAUCUUUUUGGGUUAU